rnacentral:ncRNA from 1 species
AAUGGUAGAGGCGCGAAAGCUAUCAGUACCAGCGAGCUUUUGGGGGAGGCUCCCCGCUCAUUGGGAAAGGAACUUUCGCCGAAGCGUCGGAAAAAGCCUAUAUUUUCCGGUUGCUGGGUCGCAGGAAAACAUCUUGCGGACUGUCACUUCGGUGGAGAGCUAUCAU